CGGUCGCGUAACACGUAAGCAACCUGCCCCAAAGACCGGGACAACGUUCCGAAAGGAGCGCUAAUACCGGAUGUGCCCAUCGGGCGACCUCGCCUGUUGAGUAAAUCGAGCAAUCGGCUUUGGGAGGGGCUUGCGGCCUAUCAGCUAGAUGGUGGGGUAACGGCCUACCAUGGCGACGACGGGUAGCUGGUCUGAGAGGAUGGUCAGCCGGAUUGGGACUGAGAUACGGCCCAG
rnacentral:rRNA from 1 species